UAGGGAAUAUUGGACAAUGGGUGAGAGCCUGAUCCAGCCAUGCCGCGUGCAGGAAGAAGGCGUUAAGCGUUGUAAACUGCUUUUGCCAGGGGAUAAAACGGUUCUGCGGAACUAAUUGAAGGUACCUGGUGAAUAAGCCACGGCUAACUACGUGCCAGCAGCCGCGGUAAUACGUAGGUGGCAAGCGUUGUCCGGAUUUAUUGGGUUUAAAGGGUGCGUAGGCGGCCCUGUAAGUCAGUGCUGAAAUAUCCCGGCUUAACCGGGAGGGUGGCAUUGAUACUGCAGGGCUUGAGUACAGAUGAGGUAGGCGGAAUUGACGGUGUAGCGGUGAAAUGCAUAGAUAUCGUCAAGAACACCGAUAGCGAAGGCAGCUUACCAAGCUGUAACUGACGCUGAGGCACG
rnacentral:rRNA from 1 species